rnacentral:lncRNA from 1 species
AUGGUCACCAAUGGAGUUCCUCUUAUGUAACAUUCUAGAGGCUCCAAGCCCCUUGGCCGCUAUUUUAAGGCCUUCACGGUGAGAUGUCCUCUAUGGUCCAAGUGGGAAUUUUAUGACCUGAUUAUUUUCAUUUAUUUGGUAGACUUUGAUAGGACAAAAAGAAGUAUAUACAUGAGCUCCUCUCCCACUUAAAAUCGAUCUUCGAAGUGCAAAUCCUAUACUGUCCCGUACAUCCUGUAACAAAUUCACCAAA